rnacentral:rRNA from 1 species
GGUUAAGCGACUAAGCGUACACGGUGGAUGCCUAGGCAAUCAGAGGCGAUGAAGGACGUGCUAAUCUGCGAUAAGCGUCGGUAAGGUGAUAUGAACCGUUAUAACCGACGAUUUCCGAAUGGGGAAACCCAGUGCAAUUCGUUGCACUAUCGUUUGAUGAAUACAUAGUCAAACGAAGCGAACCGAGGGAACUGAAACAUCUCAGUACCUCGAGGAAAAGAAAUCAACCGAGAUUCCCCUAGUAGCGGCGAGCGAACGGGGAGCAGCCCAGAGUCUUAAUCAGCAUUA